rnacentral:rRNA from 1 species
AACCGACCUUUUACUGGGGGAUAGCCCGGAGAAAUCUGGAUUAAUACCCCAUGGUACCUACGAAUCGAUUGGUUUGUAGUUUAAAUAUUUAUCGGUAAAAGAUGGGCAUGCGUCUGAUUAGCUAGUUGGCGGGGUAACGGCCCACCAAGGCGACGAUCAGUAGGGGUUCUGAGAGGAAGGUCCCCCACACUGGCACUGAGAUACGGGCCAGACUCCUACGGGAGGCAGCAGUAGGGAAUAUUGGGCAAUGGUCGCAAGACUGACCCAGCCAUGCCGCGUGCAGGAAGACGGCCCUCUGGGUUGUAAACUGCUUUUAUCUGGGAAGAAAAAGUCCAUGCGUGGAAAAUUGCCGGUACCAGAUGAAUAAGCACCGGCUAACUCCGUGCCAGCAGCCGCGGUAAUACGGAGGGUGCAAGCGUUGUCCGGAUUUAUUGGGUUUAAAGGGUGCGUAGGCGGCUGAAUAAGUCAGCGGUGAAAGACUUCGGCUUAACCGGAGCAGUGCCGUUGAUACUGUUUAGCUUGAUUGUUGGAGGGGUACAUGGAAUUGAUGGUGUAGCGGUGAAAUGCAUAGAUCCCAUCUGGAACACCGAUAGCG